UUCACUGCUACAGUCUCCCUAUUAUAGAUACAUUAUCAUUACAACCCCACUCAGGUAAUGUCUGGUUUCACUGCUACAGUCUCUGUAUUAUAGAUACAUUAUCAUUACAACCCCACUCAGGUAACGUCUGGUUUCACUGCUACAGUCUCUGUAUUAUAGAUACAUUAUCAUUACAACCCCACUCAGGUAACGUCUGGUUUCACUGCUACAGUCUCUGUAUUAUAGAUACAUUAUCAUUACAACCCCACUCAGGUAACGUCUGGUUUCACUGCUACAGUCUCUGUAUUAUAGAUACAUUAUCAUUACAACCCCACUCAGGUAACGUCUGGUUUCACUGCUACAGUCUCUGUAUUAUAGAUACAUUAUCAUUACAACCCCACUCAGGUAACGUCUGGUUUCACUGCUACAGUCUCUGUAUUAUAGAUACAUUAUCAUUACAACCCCACUCAGGUAACGUCUGGUUUCACUGCUACAGUCUCUGUAUUAUAGAUACAUUAUCAUUACAACCCCACUCAGGUAACGUCUGGUUUCACUGCUACAGUCUCUGUAUUAUAGAUACAUUAUCAUUACAACCCCACUCAGGUAACGUCUGGUUUCACUGCUACAGUCUCUGUAUUAUAGAUACAUUAUCAUUACAACCCCACUCAGGUAACGUCUGGUUUCACUGC